CCGUAAACGAUGUCUACUUGGAGGUUGUGCCCUUGAGGCGUGGCUUCCGGAGCUAACGCGUUAAGUAGACCGCCUGGGGAGUACGGCCGCAAGGUUAAAACUCAAAUGAAUUGACGGGGGCCCGCACAAGCGGUGGAGCAUGUGGUUUAAUUCGAUGCAACGCGAAGAACCUUACCUGGUCUUGACAUCCACAGAAGAAUCCAGAGAUGGAUUUGUGCCUUCGGGAACUGUGAGACAGGUGCUGCAUGGCUGUCGUCAGCUCGUGUUGUGAAAUGUUGGGUUAAGUCCCGCAACGAGCGCAACCCUUAUCCUUUGUUGCCAGCG
rnacentral:rRNA from 1 species